UACGAAGGGGGCUAGCGUUGCUCGGAAUCACUGGGCGUAAAGCGCACGUAGGCGGAUUGCUAAGUCAGGGGUGAAAUCCUGGAGCUCAACUCCAGAACUGCCUUUGAUACUGGCGAUCUUGAGUCCGGGAGAGGUGAGUGGAACUGCGAGUGUAGAGGUGAAAUUCGUAGAUAUUCGCAAGAACACCAGUGGCGAAGGCGGCUAUCUGGACAGGUACUGACGCUGAGACGCGAAAGCGUGGGUAGCAAACAGG
rnacentral:rRNA from 1 species